UCCUGGCUCAGGAUGAACGCUAGCGGCAGGCUUAACACAUGCAAGUCGAGGGGCAGCGGGGAGGAAGCUUGCUUUCUCCGCCGGCGACCGGCGCACGGGUGAGUAACACGUAUGCAACCUGCCCCUGUCAGGGGGACAACCCGCCGAAAGGCGGGCUAAACCCGCGUACAUGCCACCGGGGCAUCCCGGAGGCAGGAAAGGCUUCGGCCGGACAGGGAUGGGCAUGCGGCGCAUUAGGCAGUAGGCGGGGUAACGGCCCACCUAACCGACGAUGCGUAGGGGUUCUGAGAGGAAGGUCCCCCACACUGGUACUGAGACACGGACCAGACUCCUACGGGAGGCAGCAGUGAGGAAUAUUGGUCAAUGGGCGCGAGCCUGAACCAGCCAAGCCGCGUGAGGGAUGAAGGUACAGAGUAUCGUAAACCUCUUUUGUCAGGGAACAAAGGCGGGGACGCGUCCCCGGAUGAGUGUACCUGAAGAAAAAGCAUCGGCUAACUCCGUGCCAGCAGCCGCGGUAAUACGGAGGAUGCGAGCGUUAUCCGGAUUUAUUGGGUUUAAAGGGUGCGCAGGCGGUCUGUUAAGUCAGCGGUCAAAGCCCGGGGCUCAACCCCGGCCCGCCGUUGAAACUGGCAGUCUCGAGUUGGAGAGAAGUAUGCGGAAUGCGCGGUGUAGCGGUGAAAUGCAUAGAUAUCGCGCAGAACUCCGAUUGCGAAGGCAGCAUGCCGGCUCCACACUGACGCUGAGGCACGAAAGCGUGGGUAUCGAACAGGAUUAGAUACCCUGGUAGUCCACGCAGUAAACGAUGAAUGCUGGCUGUCCGGGGGGAUUGACCCCUGGGUGGCGAAGCGAAAGCGAUAAGCAUUCCACCUGGGGAGUACGCCGGCAACGGUGAAACUCAAAGGAAUUGACGGGGGCCCGCACAAGCGGAGGAACAUGUGGUUUAAUUCGAUGAUACGCGAGGAACCUUACCCGGGCUCAAACGGGGAGUGACUCAGGCAGAGACGCCUGUUUCCCACGGGACACUCCCCGAGGUGCUGCAUGGUUGUCGUCAGCUCGUGCCGUGAGGUGUCGGCUUAAGUGCCAUAACGAGCGCAACCCCCGCGUGCAGUUGCUAACAGAUAACGCUGAGGACUCUGCACGGACUGCCGGCGCAAGCCGCGAGGAAGGCGGGGAUGACGUCAAAUCAGCACGGCCCUUACGUCCGGGGCGACACACGUGUUACAAUGGGUGGUACAGCGGGAAGCCAGGCGGCGACGCCGAGCGGAACCCGAAAUCCACUCUCAGUUCGGAUCGGAGUCUGCAACCCGACUCCGUGAAGCUGGAUUCGCUAGUAAUCGCGCAUCAGCCAUGGCGCGGUGAAUACGAAGCCGGCCCUUGCACUCACCGCCCGUCA
rnacentral:rRNA from 1 species